GUGUUAAAGUUGGCAGCACCUCACUAAAAUUGGAAUAAUAGAGAUUAGCAUGGCCCCUUUGCAAGGGUGUCACAAAUUUUUGAAAUGUUCCACGUUUUC
rnacentral:snRNA from 1 species